rnacentral:rRNA from 1 species
UACAGAGGGGGCAAGCGUUGUUCGGAAUUACUGGGCGUCAAGGGCGCGUAGGCGGCCUGUUAAGUCGAACGUGAAAUCCCCGGGCUCAACCCGGGAACUGCGUCCGAUACUGGCAGGCUUGAAUUCGGGAGAGGGAUGCGGAAUUCCAGGUGUAGCGGUGAAAUGCGUAGAUAUCUGGAGGAACACCGGUGGCGAAGGCGGCAUCCUGGACCGAGAUUGACGCUGAGGCGCGAAAGCCAGGGGAGCAAACGGG